rnacentral:rRNA from 1 species
GAAAACUUUGCAAUACACGAAAGUGUGACAGGGCUAUCCCGAGUGCCAUCCGCUGAGGAAGGCUUUUACCCAGUCUAGAACGCUGGGGGAAUAAGGAGAGGGCAAGUCUGGUGUCAGCCGCCGCGGUAAUACCAGCACCCCGAGUUGUMGGGACGAUUAUUGGGCCUAAAGCAUCCGUAGCCUGUUCUGCAAGUCCUCCGUUAAAUCCACCUGCUC